UGUUCUGCAUCUUCUGAGUGGAAGCUUCUGAAAAUGUGAAGGGUUGGCUCUGUACUGCUCUUCAACACUAACUAGGAUGGCAUGGUCCUGACAUGUUCUUCUAGUCUCUUUGACACCCAGUAUUUUCAUUGGGUAUGAAACUCCACAGGACUAAUCUCUGAACUAAAAGCUGUGCUGAAGGGAGGAGAGCACUGUUCUGUGAAUUUACGAAGGGGAAGGAAUGCAGAGAUCUGCCUCUCUGAUACAUAUUCAACGCCACCUGACAUCCCAGAAGCGGGACUGCUGACACUCCCAGCCCUUUAGUCUGGUGCAUCUGAAGUACAGGAGAAAGACUUGCCUUGUAGAAGUUGUUUGAGUAUCUUAGAUAUACCUCCUCCCUCUCAGUUGGUCAGCAUCUUCAUGCUUCCUUUUCCAAGAGGACGGCUGUUAGCUAAAGCCAUGCAGUUCCUGUAAAAGUCCUUACACCUGGCCUUUGACAGCUCAGAGGAGACAGUAAUUGUGAUGAAAAGUAUAUAACCUUUCCGGGAGGGAAGUGGUCUGCUCCAUAAAUAAAUCUCGCCUUGUAAAUUAAAGAUGUGCUAGAAUGAAAUACCUGGAUCCAACAGCGCUGUAACUUGAGCAAGCUUGUUCGGGUAUCACUGCCAGAUUUGUUGGCACAGGGAAUUGGCCACAAUCGGUAUACUCCACAGCACUUGCUAUAACCGUUGGAUGCCAAUGAAGAAUGUUUUAUAGCAAUGGCAGUGUUACAGCAUCUCAGUGGUUUUCUUAAUGAUUGGACACAAUCUAGUCACAAGCAUGUUAGGAUACAAAUGUAAUCUGUGUUCACGGAGAAGUAAUCAUCCCAACUAAGACCUAAGUAAAUCCUCGUCAGUACUGACUGUGACCCAGGUAUAUGUUGUAUGAAAACAGUACAGAAUGCGUGUGCAAGGAUUGCAUCAGGGUCUGCAUUGUCUUGUGUAAGUUUCAAGAGGAAAACGUAUGCUAACGUAGAUGACAAGGAAUAUUAGAAAUGCUUCUUACACAGUUGGACACAAGUCUCACCAAACCACAGUUAAGGAUUUUACACUGAAGUCUAAGGACACAUUCAGAAGGUUGAUAUUAAAUACCUUUUCUCAAAACUUUGGCUGCUGUGAAUAUCAUCACUAUUAAAGAAGGAAAAAAAUGUUCAAUUUUUAUUGUCAUCCAGAUGUCCAGAUUUUUAUAUGGGAUAAUUUUUUUUUCCAAAGUGCAACAAGAGUCAAGAUUAUAUCUGUAUGUGUUUAGGAGCCAAAAAGAGAUGUCACUAUCCAAAACAAUUUGAGAAUUUUGUUUAGAAAGUUUACUCACACCUUGCAUUAUUAUGUACACUCUUGAGACAAACUUGCAUCUGGGCUCUGGGGACAGGUGGCUUUAGACCUUGGAAAUGUUAUGGAUCUGCUGAUCUGCUGCUAAGCUACUGAGGAACAAAUAUACCUUCAGAUGGCGCACACACAGACACAGAUUAAAUCCCUUCAGAAUCUUACUAGUCUUUUUAAAACAGCGUGAAAGGACACGUGUCAGCGAUGCAAGGAAAUUACGUGGAAGUUGAAGAGCUAGGCUACCCCCUUCUGAGUCUGAUGGUGAAGUUCCUCCCUCCUGCCAAGUACAGGUAUUUUUAUGAGUCCCUGGAAAGAGGUAAAAUAAGAAGGGAAACAGAGUGUGGGAUAAACUAGUAAUUCAGUUUAAGUAGUGAUAGACCUCCGGUGCCUUAACACUUUUAAAUACAUUUUAUAUACCUGUGGUAGUGCAUGUAUUCUGAAGUAUAUGAUACACAUAAAAGCGCCAGUUAAACCUUCCCUUUGAUUUAACUGCAAUCACCCUGAUAGUUAGAAUAUCAGCAGUGAAUAAUUUUGCAGGACUGAGACGUGAUAGUUUAUUUAGAUGGUCUGGCAGUCCACCCUCCAGUGGCCAUUGUGGCUUGCACCGGGUGAUAAUCUCAGUGGAGGCUGCUUGACUGAUAGUGUUUUUCUUGAAGUCAGUGAUGUGAUCGUCUUAUACCCCCUUACAUUCAGAAUCUAAUUCUGUUAUCUUCUUUGCAAAAAAUAUAGGUAUUCUCUAUAUUAAUGCCUGAUCACAGCAAGACAAAGCAUAUCUUGAGCUGUUUUGAGUGUCUGAGCUUUCACAUUGAUUUCGCUGUUGCAAAGCACAUCACAUAUUUUGUAACAACCGUGGAAAAAAUUAAAUUCUUUAUCUAUUGAUAUAAUUAAUGUCUUUGUGCAUCCAAGAUAAUAGGAAUUCCAGCAUUCAUGCUUACUAUAAAAUAUAGCAAGCAAAGGCUAAGUAAAUUCUGUUUGUUUUAAUACGGAAAUGAUUUUGACUGCAUCUUUGGCUUUGUAUGACAUGGAAACUGGUGAUUGUUUAUGCUUUGCUACUUUUUUUGGUCUGCAUUAAAAUCCCACAUGAGAAACAAAUUUUUCUCUAGGAACAAAAUGUUACUUUUUUGGGACUGAGUUCUAAUUAGUUGGGUAGUACGUCUGUUUCUUUUCAGUUGGGAAAAUGCAAUGCAUAUAAAAUCCAGAUGGAUAGCACAUGAUGCUGGAACUAUCCCUGGCCAAUCAGCCACGUCACUUGAUUAAAAGAAACCUGUAAGAAUUUAAGUAAAAAAACAUACCCAACAGGAUAGUAAGAGCAGCAGACUGGCUGCAAUAUGGGAUUUCAUCACAGCACCGAGAUUGCUUUGAUUUGCUGAUCGGCCUCCCCGCACCUUAUUGAAAGUUAACCUGCAGUUGUAUUUACAUAAAACUCGGGGAGAAUUUGUGAUUAAGACCCUAAAUACCAGUGGUAGAAGAUAUGUGGUAAGUGGGAUGGGGAGGAAAUUCAUCAUCAAGCUACACCAGGCCACAAGGACCACAGCUUUAAGGCAACGGGCGCUUCGAAGGAGCUCAGCUGAGAGAAAUGCAACAGAAAUCCACCCCGACAUGAACCGUAAUAUCUCAGACCAAUUCUUUUUGUGUGGAUUUUGCCUGUGACUGAACAGUCUUUCAGAGCACAAGUAAGCACAUAUUAUGGCAAUUACUCACAGCCUUGCUGGAGCAAAAGCUCUGAGUGGUCCGGGGUUUCACCAGAUCUGAGAGUGAGAUUUUUUCAGAGAGGUCUAACGUGGGCUAGGAAGAAGUCUGAAGUAAAGGCAGGCCUUACGGAGGAUGGAACAGCAUCUGGAAUCCCUACGGACUACUGCGGGAAUGUUUAUUAUUCUUUGUUUAUUAUUUUGAGUGAGGGAGAGUGGUGCUCUCCCUCUUCCUCUCUUUGUCUCCCUUUGUUAUUUGUGUAAUAAAAUUCCUCUAGUCGUAUAAAGUAAGUCAUCUGGAAUUGUGUAGCUCCUGCCAGGAAGAUGGAAAAGCCCCUCUCCUGUGCAGAGAGAAAAAUAUGGACUCAUCUCAACCGUUGAGAAAUUACAGAAAUAAGGCAUUUGUCUUUGGGUUAUAUUUAUACUGCAAAGAGCUGUGGCAAAAAAAUUUUGCUCCUUGCUGUUAAAAAUUCUGCUUUUAUCCUGUCCAAGGUGUUAUGUUUAUUUAAAACUUGAGAAAUAAUUUGUACAUUUUAAAAUAAAGCAUGCAAAAUACAUUAAAAAGGCUCAGCAUCAAAGCUGGUUUUUCUGCCAGCGGGUGCAAGGAAGGAAAAGGAAAUGAGUAAGGAGAGAGGAGCGUCUUUACAGCCACAUGGCUAGUGAAAUUUUCUAUUUAUUCUUUGGGGAAAAAGCAAAGUGGCUGCCUAGCUGCUGGUUGGAUAGGUGCCGGUACUAUUUUUAUUGGCAGGCAACUCUGAGUGGCUGAAAGGUGGUCAUUA